rnacentral:rRNA from 1 species
GACGAACGCUGGCGGCGUGCCUAAUACAUGCAAGUAGAACGCUGAAGGAGGAGCUUGCUUCUCUGGAUGAGUUGCGAACGGGUGAGUAACGCGUAGGUAACCUGCCUGGUAGCGGGGGAUAACUAUUGGAAACGAUAGCUAAUACCGCAUAAGAGUAGAUGUCGCAUGACAUUUGCUUAAAAGGUGCAAUUGCAUCACUACCAGAUGGACCUGCGUUGUAUUAGCUAGUUGGUGAGGUAACGGCUCACCAAGGCAACGAUACAUAGCCGACCUGAGAGGGAGAUCGGCCACACUGGGACUGAGACACGGCCCAGACUCCUACGGGAGGCAGCAGUAGGGAAUCUUCGGCAAUGGACGGAAGUCUGACCGAGCAACGCCGCGUGAGUGAAGAAGGUUUUCGGAUCGUAAAGCUCUGUUGUAAGAGAAGAACGAGUGUGAGAGUGGAAAGUUCACACUGUGACGGUAUCUUACCAGAAAGGGACGGCUAACUACGUG